GGUUGAUCCUGCCAGUAGUCAUAUGCUUGUCUCAAAGAUUAAGCCAUGCAUGUCUAAGUAUAAGCACUUAUACCGUGAAACUGCGAAUGGCUCAUUAAAUCAGUUAUCGUUUAUUUGAUAUUACCUUACUACAUGGAUAACCGUGGUAAUUCUAGAGCUAAUACAUGCCAAAAACCCCGACUCACGAAGGGGUGUAUUUAUUAGAUAAAAAGCCAACGCCCUUUGGGGCUCCUUGGUGAUUCAUGAUAACUUAACGUAGCGCAUGGCCUUGAGCUGGCGCAGCAUCAUUCAAA
rnacentral:rRNA from 1 species